AGAGACUUAGGAUAAUAUUAAACCAAGGGCCUUCAAAGCCUUAAAUAGGGGCUAUACCCCCUAGUCUCUG
rnacentral:tRNA from 1 species